GGACGAAAAAAGCAUUUUUGAGGUCCUUAUACUCAUUAUGCCUAGCAUUGAAUGACCGGGUAUUCACCCUAUCAAUAUCUCAAAUCAAUGAUGGGUUCGAUUCGGAUCUUGCCUAAACGGCACCCAAAUCGGACCGAACCAUUUGUCAGGCUAUUGUUCUCUUGUUUUGUUCCUUCAAAGUAAUGGAGUAAGACAUCGAUUUCUCAAAAAGAUCAAUUCUUUUGAUUGCAUGAUAGACUUCCCUGAAAAACAUUGGCGCAUGUGUAAACGAGGCGCUCUACCAACUGAGCUAUAGCCCUUGUGUUUGUGAUACAUAUUUUAUCAUAUUAUGUAGAUAAUUUCUUGUCAAGAUGAAUACUACAUGAUCCAACAUCAUAAUCAUACCCUUUUGGUCGGUUUGAUUGGUAUUGCUUAGAAGUAAUAUUGGAUUUAUAAUCCAUCGAUGUAAUAGGUCCCUUUUCUUUCUCUUUAUGAUUCCUUAUGGUAAUAAAUGACAUACUUAACUCAGCGGUUAGAGUAUUGCUUUCAUACGACGGGAGUCAUUGAUUCAAAUCCAAUAGUAGGUAGAACUUAUUAGGAUUUCGUUAAGGAUAAUCUAGAAGCAUAAAAUAAAAUUUUAAAAGGAGAUUAAAUUAAUUAAUUUUAAUAUUAUAGUAACAAAUCAGUUGAUAUUAUCAAUGGAUAAAAAAAUUUCAACAAUUUAUUUUAAUGUUUUUAAAAUUUAAAAUUUUAAUGUUAAAAAAAUAAAAAUUAGAAUUUCGGCAAUGGGACAAACAAGUACAAUUUAACAAUUUUAUGUAUUAUUUUGGUUUCCAUCGCUUUUUCACUUUAAUCCUUGAUUUUUUUUUACCCCAAUCAAUACUUCAAAAAAAUAUUUUUUGGGUGACCAAAAUGAAAGUGUAAACAUGAUGUGGUGCGUACAGUUAAUCGCUGUUAGAGAUUUAACGCUUGAGUGACUAAAAUGAAAGCACCCUAAAAGUUGGAUGACCAACUAAGUAGUUUACCUUUUUUUAAUAAGGGUUUAGUCGUUUUCUGGGGUAUGAACUUUGCAACUACAACCACAUUGGGGCUUGUACUUUUUUGGUCCAAAAUAGCUUCUAAACUUGGCAAAUUUUCCACAUUGGGGCUUGAGCUUUCUUUUUGUCCAAGUUAGUCUUGAACGUGGCAAUUGUUCAUGUAUUGGGGCUUGAAUUAUUUUUGGUCCAAGUUGGUCCAAGUUAGUUCAGACUCUCGAUGUGAGAAUAACUGUCAAGUUUAGGGACUAACUUGAAUAAAAAAAUUGUAGUCCUAAUGUGAGAGAAAAAUUGUCUAAUUCACUCCCUGAUAUGAGAACAAUUACCAAGUUCGAGAACCAACUUGGAUACCAAAAAGUUUAGACCUCAAUGUAAUUUUUUUUGUCAAAUUUGGACCCCAAAUAAUAAUUUAACCCCUUUUUUUAAUGAUGCUUUGAUAUUGUUUUAGUAUUUAUUUUUGGUCGAGAGAUUGUGUUUGUACAAUUGUACUUAGUUGCAUGAUAAUAAAUUUAAAACAUUAGAAGGGUAAAAAGGUCAAGUCUUGGUAAAUAAUGAGACAUUGAUGCUUGCCUUUUGUUGGAGAACAUUAAUGUCUUGUUGUCGACUUAGAAAUAUUAUUUUGUAAUUAUUCCAAAUAAUAAAAUUGUUGCUCAAACUUUUUUUUUCUUUUUUUUUUUGAAUUUUAAAUGGUCAUUAAGGAUUAUAAUAAAUUUUUUUAAAAAAUUAUUGUAACGAUCUAAUUUUUGCCAAUGUCGGAAAUGUCAAUUUCGAAACCAAAUUUGAUAAAGCCGAGAUGUUCAGAAAGUUAAAAUGAAAACAUUACGAGUACUUCAAUUUUUUUCAAAAAAAGCAAUUAAACCUUUUUUUUUUUGCACUCAAUUGAAUACUUGAACCGUUAAAAUGCAUCAAAAAAACUCUAAAUUUUUCAAAAUUUAAUCCUCCUAUUUUAAUUUAUUAAAAUUUUGAUCUUCGUUCUUUACGAAAAUUGAGAAGAUACUUCUAUAGGCAAUGACCCUGAUCCCUUCCCCAAAUGCUAUAAUAUUAAAAUAAUACUUUAGCCCCUAAAAAGAUGUUUUAGCUUCGUCCUUGUCUAUAACAAUUAUGGUUGAGGACUAGGAUGACAAUUCAAAUAUAUCUCUUUCAGAAUAAUUAAUCGAAUAAAUUAAAAUUUUUUUAAAAAAAUAGAUAAAUUCGAUUCAAGUCAAUUCAAUAUUUGAAAAUUUCAUAUUUGUAAAUACAAAAGAUUUUUGUUGUUGUUGUUGUUGAAAGCAUUGAUAUAAAUGAUGGGAUGUGGCAGUUGGGGACCAUUAUUCUACCAAAUUGGUUUCUUCUUCCUUCUUCUAGCUACCACUGUUUACUAGUCUCCGCAUGGUUAUUGUGAGAAUCAUCCUCAAUGAGCACAUUCGAUCCUUUGUAUCAACACUAUUAUUUCGUGUUUAAGUCAAUUUUGAGUUAAGGUUAUUUUGAGUUCAAACUAUUAAUGAUUUGCCCAUUUUAGGUUUGGGUUUUUUUUUGGAUUGAAUCAUCUUAGGUUAAGGUCAUUUUAGAUUAUUCGUCUAGGUCAUUUCAAGUUUGAUUCAUUUAUAACAUGUGUCAUUUUGGGUUAGACGAGUUCGAUUUUUUCACCUUUUAUGAUCAAAUUAAUUUGUUAUAUCCUGCCUUGAUUGGAACACGUGGCAACAUGAGAAUCGACUGGAGAGACACUCGCGAGUGGCACUUCGUCUUAUACCAUUUGGAUGCCUCGUAUAACCCAUGGAAGAGACCAUCCAUCAUUAACCAUCCGAUUGGACCCUCAGUUAGGCCACUUAGUAUUAACGGGUACACUCUUCUCAAGAGUGGGCCACUCGGGAACCAUCACUCUUCUAUAAAUACCUCAAGAUAUCAACAUAGUAGGGGACUCUUCUUCUCUCUCAAAACCUUGACACACUAAGCUCUCAUCCUACUCCACUUGAGCCCUCCACUCUUUUAGCUCUCGGCCCCGGUGAAGGCGAAUUGACCUUCGUCAUCACUAUCCCACUCCUCACCUUCUCCACCCUCGUUGAUAUUGUAUAUUAACAAAAUUAAAUCAAAUUUAAAUUAAUUGAAUUACAAAAUAAUAUUUCUAAUAUGAAAAAAAAAACAGAAUUAAAAUGGAUUCCAAGCAAGAUCAAAUUAAUUAAGGACCGGGGCCCCGCUUAAUAGAUAAGUCAACAACAAGACAUUCAUCAAUGUUUCAUUCAUCAUGAUUUGACCUUUUUACCCUUUUUAUCAAAGGAUAACUUUUUUGGGGCCAAAUUAUCAAAGGAUCACUUUAAAAGGGCUCUAAAGUCAAUUUUCCCUAAGGCAAAAAAGUCAGAUUAGGGGUAUUAGACUUGGAAUCAAGCCUUGCUAUAAAGGAUCAUUUGAGAUUAUAUUUUCAUGGGGUUCAAUGACUUUCUUUUUGAAGAAGAGACAGGAUCAUGAAUUAAGUUUAAAAUGACUUGAAUUUAUUAAUCGAAUCGAAAAUUAAUUAAUUGAUUGGAUUAAUUGAACAAAAAAUCAUUAAUUUGGUCUAAAACAAAACAAAAAUCAAUUGAUCCACGUAUCGAUAUAGACCAAUUAAACCGGAUUAAUGUACUAAUUAGUGAAGAAUGGAAAUUAAUGAAGUAAUUAAAAAGCAAAUAAAUAAAAAUAAACAAUUUAAAUUAUUAAUUGUAAAUAUAAUGAACACAAAUACAGAGGUUUAAAAGUUUACUUUGAACCACUCCAUUGUUGGCUUUUCAAGCUUGAAAAAACCUGCUCUUUUGCUGAUGUUUCCAAGCUUUAAAAAAAAAACAGACACAAACAUGUCUGAAAGCAACCAAAAUCUCUUUACAGAGAUGUUGUGUUCCAAAUUUUCUAACUACAACAUACUUUAUAUACAUCUGGUUCAUCAACUUUUACCUUGUACUACAAAGGCUAUAUACCCCUACAAGGAAGUUGUUUUUGCCACCAUUGUUACAUAGAAGGCAGACCCCGAUUGCCACUUAGAUGGCUCGGUGCUAACUUCGGCAACCGCUAUUCUUUAUCGGAAUUAUAUAUUGCCAUUGUUUUCUUCUGCAAUGCCGUAUAUUUUGAUAAUAGAUAACCCUUCACAACGUAUCAUGAGCUUCUUCCAAUGUCCUUGUCGGUGUAAUCUCCACCUCGAAACGAUGCUGCCGCCGUGGCAGCAUCAAAUCCUCCUCCGAUAGAGGUAAUUAGAGCUGACAGGCCGGCAGUGGGGUUGCCACCGGCAGCUACCCCCAAUCCAAGGAAAUCGAGAGUAGUUUGCUUAGGACCGAACACUGGGGUUCCCAUCAUCAGUUCCUUUAAUCCAGAACUUCCAUCACAGGGAAGCCCUAGUCCAACCCCUGCUGCAAUGGAGGCAUUGUCAGGGUCCACUUGUGCCUGACCCCAUUGUAAAUUUUCUUGUGGUGCUGAUGACGAAACAAUACCGAGACCACGAAGCAAGGAUGCAUUACUUGCUGCUGCUCCCAUCUGAGCAGCUUUCUGAAGUAGUGCAGUGGCUGACAUAGCAGGUUGCAGCGACGGUGCAUGCUGCCGAUGCUCUUGCCCUGCAGUCCCGAAUAUUGACGAGCCAUGGCUGGUCGAGAGGCAUAGAGAAAUUGGUUCGAUUGAUGCAGAUGGAGCAAGGUCAGGUCGAAUUAAAUUGGUUAAAGGAGGAGGUUGAGGAGGUUGUAUGCUUGCAGAUACAGUUGAGGAGGCAAAUAAACUUGCAAAUACACCACUGCUGCUGCUAUUGCUAGCACCACUGCUAACCAGGCUGAUGCAACCGCUACAACUUCCAUUUAAGCCAGCCGAUGGUGGAGCUGGUGCCGUAGGUUGAGGAGGUCGAAUGCUUGCAGAUACAGUCGAGGAGGUAAAUAAGCUCGAAAAUACACCGCUGCUGCUGCUACAACCACUGCUAAUCAAGCUGACACUAGUGCUACAACUUCCAUUUAAGCUAGCUGGAGGUGGAGCCGGUGCCAGUGCCGGAGCUGGUGCUGGAGCUGGUGCUGGAGCUGCAGCUUUUUCCACGAUAAUACUUGGAACUUCAGCCAACACUACAACAAGAACCCAUAUAUAAGACAUAUAUACAGUCAUUUUAAAGUCUUAAACAUGAAAUCGACAAAAGACCAAUAACAGACAAAAACUACUACACUCCAAAGAUUCAUCCAAAGACAUAAUAACAACAAAAUAAAUAAAUAAAAUUUGUCCUUGUUUCAAUUCAAACUACAUAAAAAAAGGGCAAAACCGAAACUAACAAGAUACAAAAUUCUCUAAUUAUGUGUUUUACCAGAACUUUGAAUCGGCAUAUCUGAAAAAGUUACUGCACUCGGAGCAGACACUGGCGGAGAUGCAGGCGGUGGCAAUGAAUCCGCCGCCUGAACUUUUGGGUCGGGUUCCGAACUGAGAUUCGUUUGUGUUUUAGCACUCUCCACUGCUAACGCAUCACAAAAAGCUCUGUGGGUAAUAAAACUGUCCCUCCUACAAAAAAAUGAACAAAAAGAAUCCAAAAUCAACAAUCAAAUCCCAGAAAAAAGAACCCAUAUUUUUCACCUAGGAAUUAAGUCGAACACCUGGAAAACACAGUUCCACAAUCACAUUUAUACUCUCGAGUGCCACAGAUCUUAGAGUGAGCUUUCCAAUCCGAUUGAACAGCGUACUUCUUAGAACAUUUAUCACAUUUCCAUUUCUUUUCACCAUGUUUUCUACAGAAAUGCUUCUUAAUCCCCGUGAGAUCACCUAAAGCUCUCGAAGGGUCAUGAUGAACACACGUCGGCUCAGGACAAACAUAAACCUUCUUCUUCACUUCCUUGCUCGAUCUUUGCCUCAGCUUCCAUGGCAGAUUAUGACCUCGUCUAUGAAGCUGAAGAUUUUGGUCCCUUUGAAACCCUUUGUUACAAAUUUCACACACGAAUCGGUUCGUAGCUAACAAAGUCGUAGGUGAUAAAGCAAUCACCUCUGCAUCUGGAUCUGUAUAAAAAAAAUUAAAUUCAUAACAAAAUAAAGUACCAAAAUUAAGGCUGAUUUGAUUAUUGGAUAAUUAAUUUAUUUUACAGUACCCGGCAUUCCAGGGAGGUUACGUUUCUUCUUAACGGUGGAUUUGGGAGGUGGGCUUUGGUUACCGGUGGAAGAGACGCUGGCGUUGCCGGAGACGGUGGAGGAAUUGUCAACCUCAACCGGCAUAGCUUUAAAAAAAUCAAAUUACUAGAACCAAAAAAAAAAGGUUCUUUUUUCCCCUUUGUAAAGCUUCGUUUAUCUACCAGUCAAUCAGCUUUAUAUAUAUAAAAAAUCUUUAGGCCAUCUACCAGCUCUGUGCUUUGACCAAAAAUUUUCACAGUACCCAAACAGAAGCUCAAUGAUUAAACCCAAACACAGAAAGAUCAACUUCUUACGUUUCCCAGAAAAAAAAAAGUUUAAACUUUGAAGUUGAAUCCAAAACCCCAAAAAGAUCAAUUAAAUACCAAGUAACCAAAUCGAAUCAAAGAACCCUCCCCAGCAAACUGAAUGAUCCAACGGUCAAAGAUGAGCAAAUAAUAAACAAUUAAAACACAGGAAAGAAAACCCAGGAUUAUAUAUGGAUAAGUUAAAAUAUAUAUAUAUAUAUUAACAAGGCUAAAAAGGAACACACAAAAAAUGAAAUACAGAACUUCGUGUGAAAGUUUUAGAGCAAAAAAUAUUAAAGAAAAGAUAGAGAGAGAGUGUUCUAAAGUUCUUCAAUUGCCGUACCUGGUUUACUUUUCAGAAGAUAUAUGAAUAUAUUAAUUUUAAGUGGGGUUUCAGCAAUUUUUUAGCAGUUAGUCCCUGUAGUUCUCUUUUUAUUCUUUCUAAUUUAAUUUUAAAAUUCUGAUUUAAUAGUUAAUCUUAUUAUAUUUCGGGUUGCGCCAUACAUAUGAAAGAAUAUAGAAUAAUGAUGUAUUUGGCGAAUCAAAUACCAUGGUCUAAUAAGGAACCUUUUGGAUUCAUUGAUAAUUUUUUGAAAGAUUUCUUCGAAAAUGUUUCAUUAACUCCUCAUUUAUAUCGAGUUGACCUUGUUGUUGCGAGAAUUCUUAAUUCAUGAGUUGUAGGGAGGGUGUCACCAUAAACAGCGACUAAAGCAAGUGUUGGAUUCAAAGCUGGUAUUAAAGAGUAUAAAUUGAAUGGGCGUAAUCGGGCCUUCUUUUUACAUAUCUCUCGUUAUUUGGGACCCUAUUCACCUCUUUUCUUUUCUUUUUCUUCUAUUGAAUCGAGAAAAAAAUAAUAUAUUUGAAAAGUAGAUAGACUAAAUUCUAAAUAAUUGAUUUGGUGGCUAUGCAACAAGAAGAAUUCAUGUAUUUUUAUAUUUGAAAAGUAAAUGGACUAAGUUCUAAAUAAUUGAAGAGUACAACGACCUGAAGCAAAUUUUAACCAUUUAAAAAUUUUAGUCCACUCAUUAUCGUUGUUGAUAGUUUUUAUCAAAAUUUAUCAACUUAACAUCUUUAUAUUCUAUCGUGUCAUAUGAUGACAGAAAAAUUAAAAUUCCAAAUUGACAAAAUAUAAUAUAAAAAUGCUUACUAUUUUUAACAACUAGACAUAGAUUUUUAAAUAAAAAUUUUUUUAAAAGUAUAAGGACUAAAUAUCAAAUAUUAUUAAAUUAUAGGGACUAACAACAUAUUUUAACUUUUUUACUGUUUACCGUGAGGGAGUUGUGAGGAAGAGGUGUUUUGUCGUGUAGUGAAGUGGUCAUCCGAACUGGAUCGAACAAGAUCAAAGAAGCUGUGGUCGGUGUUAUUUUAUUUCUUGUAAAGUCAAACCACUUUUGUUUAGAUGAUUGGUUUAUUUCACUGCUUUCGGCCAAUUGUUCGCCGGCACGUGGUAUGAACCGCUAGAACUGAGCUUAUUAGAUUGUUGCCCGUUAGUUUUAUUUAUUUUUCAUAACCACCUUGUGGGGUUUUGUCUUAAUUUUAUUUCUCAAAACUUAUUUAUUUAAUUUUGUUUCGUUUUUAAGGUGUCUAUAUUCGAUUUUAGGUUCAAAAUUUUGUCUCCCGUUCUUAAAAAAGGCACGGGGCACCACUAUUAGUCAAUGAAAAGUGGUUCACACGAUUAAAUAACGAUGCUAAAAACUACAUGUGAAAGCAAGGGUGAAGUCAAAAAAUUUUAAGAGUGUAGAUAAAAAUUAAGUUAGAUGUUAUUAUAAGAGGUAAAAUAUAAUUUUAUGAUUUUAUUAACUUGUAAUUUUAUAUUUUUAAAUGAUUAAAUUGAAAUUUUAUGAUUUUGAGGAUCAAAAUGUAAUUUUACCAUACACUAAUUUAUAAUUUUAUAAAACUUAUAAGGCCUGCCUCAUCCACGGUGUAAAUGGAAGAGUUUGUGUAUAAUGAGAUUAAACUAGUGACCUAUAGCAUGUAGAUUAUAUUUAUGGAUAAUAUUUUUAAUGCUAAAAUUAAAUAUAAAAAAUUCAUAUAAUUAUAUUCACCUUUUCUCUUUUCAUCGAGAUAAUUUUAAUUAAAAAAAAAGCUAAAAUAAUAAAAAAAUAUAUAACUAAUUUUCACCUAUUUUUUAUCGUACUUAGCAUGAAUUAAUUUGAAGGUGAUUAAAAAAUAAAAUGGAUUUAUUUCAACAAAUCCCAAGUUGCGAACUAUAAAAAAGGAUUUAUUUCAACAUAAUAAAAUUAAAAGAGAUAAAAUCAAUUAGACCUAAUCAUGAGUUGGGUCGGGUCUGGUCGAUAUAAAGGUGUCUAAAAAGAUAUAAGAGAAAUUAAAAACUCUUCACGGAAUAUUAGAACUAGACCAGAUCAUGAGUCGAGUCAGGCCGAUGUAAAAUUCUAGGAUUAUUUUUUAGGCCUGAGCCUGACCCAAAAAAUGGGCUUAAAACUUUAUCAAAGCCCGACCUAAAUUAAAAAUGCUAAACUCAAGCUCGACUAGUCCUUAUUAAUUUUUUUUAUAUAAAACAAAAUUUAAAAAAUAUAAUACAUCAAAUACACUAAAAAAUUAAAUAAUACUAAGAUAAUUGCAACUUAGUGAAUAAGUCCCUCUAAAACAGUAACAAAAUUUACCCGAACCCUCCCAUAUUUCGGGCGGGCCGUCCGACCCAUGGACAGGUCUAACUGACAACAAUACAAUAAUAUCCAUUCUAAUCGAAAUAAGACUCAAUCGAUGGAAAAUGGGUUAAUUGAAUCUCCCGUGAUGGUUAACAUGUCCAAUGUAGAACUUAAAUGGUACGAACUUGAAGUACCUACAAAACUUAGUGCACUAAACAAAUCUUAAAAAGGCCUACCAAAUACUAUUGUUCAAAUCGAUUUUUAAUUUCUUUACCUAACCUAAUGAUAAUAAAUGGUAAAGGCCCAUUUGGGAUCCAUCAAAGGGCCCAAACAAAACCCAAUUUGGAGAUAUAAAGACAUUGAAAUGAUCUUAAACAAUGAUGGGUUGUUUUUAGGCAAAAGCAUCCAUUCAUGGGUUUUGGAUUUCAAAGAUUCCCACCUACCAUGUUUUAUUAAUUAACCCCAUGUGUGAUCCGAUGGUUAAAAGUGUUUACCUGAGUUUGAGUCAUGCCAGUCACGUUGGUUGUUCGAACUUUGCCUUAUUAUUAUAAUUUACCAAAAAAACUAAUUUUAAAAACAUUGUAUAAUAAUUAUUAAUUGUUUUUUACUCACUUGAUUUUUUAAAAACAUUUAUUAAAAAAUUGAAAUUUCACUAAAUAAUAUCCAAAAAAUCAUAAAACAAAACUCGUUUUUGUUAAAAUAAAAUACAAAAACCCAAAAUCCAAAAUGAAAAAAAAUCGAAAAUCGAAAACCGAAUCCAACUUAUCCUUACCCCAAAACAAAAGAAAUUCAAGAUAGAAUAAAUUUGUAAAUUUGUAGAUUGUAGAUAUAUGGCCCAUAAUUGAUUUUAUUUCUAUGAAGCAUAAAAUAGAUAAGAAUGGAUAAGAAUUUUAAGCUUCUCUCUUUUAUUUUUAUUUUUUUCCUUUGUUUUUUUGUGGUAAUCUUUAAUCCUAGCUUACUAUUUUUUGUCCAUUCCCAUAUCAACAAAAUUUCCAUUUUAUACAUCCUCAAAAUUUACACCAACCACACCCUUGAUUUUGUGAGUAUAAUACGCUUUAGCACAUUCGAACCCGUAUCUUCCUCCAUUGACAAUAAUACCCAUACUAAUUUAACCAACAAAAUUUUUAUUUUAUAUAUUCUUGAAAUUUUCACUAACCACACUAUUAAUUUUGUCCUUUCUAAAAAAUAUUUUUUUGAAGUUAAACAUGAUUUUUUUAUGUUUGGUCACAAAAAGAACAUGGACAAAAAAGUUGAUAAAUUUUGUCAUAUUUUUGUAUAGAUUUUAUUUUAUUUUAAUUGAUUUUGUCACAAAAAGAUCCUUUGAUAUUGUCACCAACAUGCAUGCAUUGGUGCACAUUUUAAAUUGAACAAAGAAUAGGAACCUUGAAAAGGGUAUAUAUUUGAUGCUCGAAUGGAAUAUUUGAGGGUUAUUUCGGUAAUAAAUAAUUGGGAUAAAUUAAUCUUUAGUCCUUACAUUUGAUAAAAAAUUUUCACUUUGGUCUCUAAUUUUUUUUUGUCCACGUUAGUCUCUAAACUUGAUAGAUUUUUUUUCCCAUUUUGGUUCCUAAACAUGAAUCUCGUUAAGGUAUGAUCAUGUGACACAAUCUCUGUAUGCAAUGUGAUUAUGCCUUAGCGAAAUCUAAGUUUAGGGAUCAAAUUCAGAAAAGUUAUCAAAAACUAAAUAUUUUUUUAUCACAAACAAUAUAUGGGAGUUGAUAUCAAAAGGUCAAAUUAUGGUUUUGACCCCUAAAAUGAAAAUUUUAGUUUUGGUCCUUUAAAUUUCAUAAAAUUUUUAAUUAGUACAUGAUAAAAUUAUACUUUAGCUCCUAAAAUGAUAAAACUUUCAUUUAGUCAUUUAAAAGAUUAUAAAUAUACCAACUCUUAAAAUGGUGAAUUUAUAUUUUAACUCUCAUAAAAACAUACAACUAAUUCCGACCCCUCAAAAAUUUAUUGACCCCUCAAAUGACUAAAUUUCAAAUUCCAACAUAAUAAAAGGACCAAAACUAGAAUUAGACCGAUAUAAAAAAGACUAUAUCACCUUCAUUAUCCCCUCUCUUUGUAAAUAAAGCCAAUGAGGGAGAGGGAAAAGAGGGAGAGAAGAAGCACCGGAGAUAUUCGAGUCGGAUCCGGGUCAUCUUUCGGAUCGUCAAUCCGUAAAAAAGACCCAAUUUAGCUUUCAGAUCUUUCCUCUUUUCUUUCACCCUCGAUUGUUUGUUUUCGCUUUACGAUUUUUUUACUGAUUCGAUAAUAGCUUUUACCUAAGGUUCCUCUGGCAUCGAAUAUUAGCAGAUUAAACGCUACAAAGCUACUUGAACAGGUUCAAUUUUACUAUUUUUCAAUCCUUUUUCGCGUUUGGGUUGUUGGGUAUUUGCGAAAAGUUUCAAUUUUUGUGAAUUUUAUUUACAAUUACCCAUAUUUUGUUUUCAUAUUGUUUUGCAGAAAGCUUUAAGCUUUGAAAUGGGAUCAUUAAACUUAAGCUAUGCUUUGUUUUGUUUUCUUUUUAUUAGGGACCAUACAUUGAAAUGUAAUUACUGGAUAUUAGAAGUAAAAAAAUCUGCAUUUUUAUCAUCCAUAAAUGGUGAAAUUUCUAGUUUUUAACUGUUCUAUGUGUUGAAACUUGAAAGAAAUAAGCUUCAUUGGAGUAGAAUUAGUAUUAAUUGUUGAUAUGUUAUGUAUUAGUCUUUGAAGGACAAUUGCAGAAACCAGUUGUGUAAUUAAACUGUUUUCACUGUUUACACAUGUUGAGGUUCGGUCGGCUCCUAAGUGUCGUCCGCCAGCCAGCCGACUGGACCACUAACAACAGAAGGUAUUGUCCUCGGGAGAGGAUUUUGUCCCCAGCUUCUGCGGAGAGCUAGUGUUUCUUGAGCGGCUGCGGAGGGGGUUGCCUUGACUGUACAUGAGUGUACGACCAUGAGCGUCUCGCCCUUGGUGGGUGGGUGGCCAUACACCUACGUAUGGUCAAGGUGCCCUUGGCUUUGUGAACCAAGCUCUCAAAGUAGUCAGCUCAUGGCAAGCUGGUUUGGGGCAGAGCACGAGAGACAAAACUCUCGUCAGGGACAAUACCUUAGGUUGUUGGGAGUCGGGUCGGUUGCUCAGCGGACGACACUUUGAAGACUUCUUCCAAAGGAGCCGACCGACCCUCAACAAGACAGUAAUUGUUGUUGUUUUGGAAUUUAAGGGUUGUUGUGUUAGUCUCUUUUUCCUUAUUCCGAGUAAUUAGAUAUCCGAUACUAGGUUUUAUUCUAAUCCAUCUUUGUAACAGGGAAAAAACUAUGGCUGUGUCUGGUUCCAAGGUUGUUUUUGGAGAUGUUUAUGUGGACGAGUUAGUGUCGAGUUGCGGGAAUGGCUUUGAGUUUUUGAAACCUAAAGGGGUUUAUUUUGCUGAUCGAAGCCAUAUCAGUUGCCGAAAAGCUGGUAUGGUUUUGAGAAAGCAAGAACAACCCCUCUUUGUUUGUGGACACUAUGUUUCUCCCACAAUGUCGAGAAAUUCCAAAUAUAAUCCUCCUUUUGGUCCAAGGAUUAAAAGUAGUCGCACUUCGCCUUUGCCAUGUUCCUCUUCUAGGGCCGUCCACGAUGUGUCAUUUGAUGGCAGUUCUAGUGAUGAUCAAACCACAAGUUUGCCUCUACGGUAUGUCCUCAUCUUGUAUUUACCCUACUAUAUGCUUUAAACAUUUCCGACACUGGCUAUCUAUGCUUGUACUCAAUUUCCACAUUUUGGUCAUUUGGUGUUGAUUUCAGAGCUAUUCCGAGUGAGCGAACAUUGACACUUGUUUCCGGGUCAUGUUAUCUCCCCCAUCCCGCUAAGGUAGAAAAGGGAGGGGAGGACGCGCACUUCAUUUGUGCUGAUGAACAAGCCAUAGGAGUAGCCGAUGGUGUAGGUGGCUGGGCUGAAGUCGGUAUUGAUGCUGGUGAAUUUGCUCGUGAACUUAUGUCUAAUUCGGUGAAAGCAAUUCGAGAUGAACCCAAAGGUUCAGUUGACCCGGCCAGAGUAUUAGAGAAGGCCCAUUCAAGCACAAAAUCACAAGGAUCCUCAACUGCAUGCAUCAUUUCCCUUCACAAGGAGGUUUGUUUUCACUUUAAAAGGCUAGUCUCAUCGAGUUUGAUUGUUAGUGAAUUUUGGUAUAUAACUUGGGUUGCCCAAGUUUGAUUACAUUCAUGCCGAUUCAUGUACUUACUAUCUCGACAGGGACUACAUGCAAUAAAUUUGGGGGACAGCGGUUUCAUAGUUGUUAGAGAUGGUUCAACUGUUUUUCAUUCCCCAGUGCAGCAACACGGUUUCAAUUUUACUUAUCAGUUGGAGAGCGGUAACAAUGGUGAUCUACCGAGCUCUGGUCAGGUUAGUCGAUGACUCGUUACUCCGCCCUGAUAAAAGGAAUCUGUUAUAGUGGUUUUCCUUUCUUUGUUCACCGUGUUUAAGGCAAUAUCUUUGAAAAUAGUAGAAAUGGCAUUGUCUUGACAAAUGCAUGCAUGCAUAGUGCACUAAAGAUCGAUAAAAAUUGACCAUUGGACACACCCACAUAAAUACAUGCAUGCAUACAUAUAUAUACGCGCGCUAAAGAUCGAUAAAAGUUGACCAUUGGACACACACACACAAAAAUGCAUGCAUGCAUGCAUACAUAUAUAUACCCACGCGCGCUAAAGAUUGAUAGAAAUUGACCAUUGGACCUCAUUUGGCUGCAUUUCUUAAAUGGCUUGGUGCUCAGAGAUAUAAUCAAAACAUGUUUUAUUAUGAGAAAAUGUACUUGAGAGGUCCCUAUAUAUAGGGACCAGAUCAAAUUUGUCCCUCUACUAUUAAAUGGAUUAAUUUAGUCUUUGUACUAUUAAAAAGAAUCAAAUAAGGCCAAGUUGGAAAAGAUUUAAACUUUUUAGUUUAAAAAAUAUCAUUUACUAUUUAACAGAAUUAAAUUUUUAAAAGUUUUUAUGAUUUUGUAAAUGAGAUUUUUUGUUUGUAAUUGAAUUGCAAUAGAAAAAAAUAAUUUUCAAGAUAAGUUUUACUUAGUAAAUGUUAAUUCAGUUAUAAUUUGGACUUAUUUGAUUCUAUUUAAUUGUAUAGAGAUUAAAUUUAUCCAUUUAAUAAUAGAGGGACUAAGUUGAUCCAGAUUCUAUAAUACAAGGACUAAGUUGAAACAAUAUAAAUUUCUUUUUUCUUUCUUGACUCUAAUUGCAACUCAAUAUCCUUAACCUAACUAUUGGUUUGGAAUUUCUUUUCCAGGUUUUCCGAAUUCCCAUUCUGCCAGGUGAUGUCAUUGUUGCCGGAACUGACGGGCUGUUCGAUAAUCUAUACAAUAACGAGGUUGCUGCUGUUGUUGUCCACGCUUUAAGAGCUGGCUUCAGUCCUGAAUCGACUGCUAAAGAGAUAGUAGCUUUGGCUCGUGAACGAGCAGUGGAUAAGAACAAGCAGACACCCUUUGCCAAAGCCGCUCAAGAUGCCGGGUAUCGGUAUAACGGCGGCAAGCUUGACGACAUCACCGUGGUCGUUUCCUUCAUUACUAGCUCCCCCGAUGUGUGAGUUUUCUCCGAGUUGGUGAACCUAUUGAGGCCUUGUAUAAAAUUUUAAGAGUAGUUUUCAUGGUGGGUUUUUAGGCGUUGGAAAGCUUCAUUAGUUAAGUUAAAUUUUGUCCAUGGAAAAUAAAUAAUUCAUAUUUACUUUCCAUCAAUCCUUUAGUUUACAAAGUUUUGAUCUUUGCUUUAAUUGCUUCAUGCUUAAUUAGAAGAGGUUAAGUAAUUAUUCAUCCAUUUUGAUGGACUUAGGUAUGAGGCCCAUUAAAUAAAAAUAAAAAUAUUUAUUUUUUAACAAAAUAUAUGUAGAAAUAUGCAUUGUUUUAGAAUCGGAUUGAUUAGAAUCAAUCAAACCAUCGGUUCAAUUUUAAACUAUUAAAAAUUUUAAAAAAUCUGUUCAAUCGUCACUUCAAUCGAUUUUCUAGUUAAUUUAAGGGUAACUAUUAAAAUAAUCAUUUUUAUUUACUUUAAGUUAUAUUUUAGUCACGUUUGAAAUGUUACGUUUUAGUCACUUACGUUAAGUGUUGUAACAUUUUAGUCAUUGAGCCGUUAAUUGUCAUUAACGGUAUAACGGUAAGUUGCUGUGACAAGUUAAAUCAUCGUUUCGAAUUUAAAAUUUUAAGUUAAAUUAUACAAUUGGUCCUUAUAUUUUUUCAUUUUGAGCAAUUUAAUUUUUUUCUUUUAUGUUUUUAACUUUUUUUUUUCUUUAUUUUUCAUUCUCUUCUACUUCGCCCACUGUUUUCCUCCAUUUUCCAUCGCUUUUAACGUAGUUUUUCUAUAUUUUCCAUCUGUUAAAACUUUUUUAUGUUUAUGAAAAAAGAAAAAGUGAAAGUUGAAACCAAAAUAAAACUUGCUUCGCAUAUUCUCACCCUACAAUUACAAGCAUUCAUUAUCCAUCAUCGCUUUAACGGAUCAAUUUGGAUCUCUCAAUGACCUAGUCCACAAGCUUGCAUCACUCGAAGACCUCGCUAGCCGUGACUUAUAGUAGUCCAUCCUCAAUGAAGUUUCCCGAGCCCUUUCCCUUAACCUUCUUACAAACCCACGACCACCUUAUCUAUCUUACCUAUAACAUUCUCGCACUCUCGAAACUAUGUUGUUUCAUGGAUUCUUCAAACAAUUUUUACACUCUCAAUGACUAAUACGACCAUCAUAUGAAACUUACCCUCAACUUUACCCAAACCAGUUUGGUUCUAUGCUCCCUUUCUCUCUUCGGUUUAUCCAUGCUCGACUUCCAAUCAAGCUUGCUUGGAAAUAUUCAAGAAGGUUUAGAUCAAUUUUAUCGUUUGCUUAAUUUUAUUCGUUAGAAAAGAAAAGAAAAUGAAAAGAAUACACUACACGAUUCUAUAAAAAUUUGGAAACAGAAAAAAAAUUGUUUUGAAUAUAAAAAUUCAAUUUAUGUUUAGAUUUGAUUAAGUAUAUGAUUUUUUAUAUUAAUUAGUUAGAUCCAAUUUUAGUUUCAAAAUUAGGUUAUAUUAAAAUCAUGAUUUGAUUAAGAAUGAUUGAUAUUCAAUUUUUAGUGAAGUUCAAUUUAGGAAUCAUGUGGAAGAAACAAGGACUUGGUUUAUUUGGUGGGUAAAGAUUAUGUUUCUGCAGUGAAAAAUAUGAGAAGAGAGAAAAAUAAAAGGGAAAAAGAAGAGAAAAAUAAAGAAAUAAAAAAAAAUUAAAUUAUUUGAAAAAAAUAAAAAUAUAGGAAUUAGUUUUAACAAAUGGAAAAUAUAGAAAAAUUAUGUUAAAAGUAAUGGAGAAGGGAGGAAAACAGAUAGAGAAGGAGAAGAGAAUAGACAAUAAAGAAAAAAAAAAAGGAAAAUUCAAAGAACAUAAAAGAAAAAAAAUUAAAUUACUCAAAACGAAAAAAAUAUGGACCAGUUGUAUAAUUUAACCUAAAUUUUUGUUUGAAAUGAUGAUUUAACGUGCCACAUUAGCUUACUGUUACACCGUUAACGACAAUUAACGCUUAGUGACUAAAAUAUUACAACACGAUAAUGUAAGUGACUAAACGUAACCUUUCAAACAUAAGUAACUAAAUAUAACAUGAGACAAAGAAAAAUGACUAUUUUGGUAGUUUACCUUUAAUUUAAUCAGUUUGUAUCAUUUCUCUAUCUAACAUAUAUGGAAAAAAAAUCUACAUUAGGAUUUUAUACUAUAUGAAUUACCCAAUGACAUUAUAAAUGUAAAUAAAUCGAAUUAUGUCAAAUUAAAGUAUAUAAAAUAAAUCUCAAAUUGAAAUAUAUUAAAAAGUAGAUGUGUUCAUUGAUCAGGUCUACGUAAGAUAUCAAUACGUUUUAUGCAUGUCCAAGCCUGACCUGACCCUAAAUAUAGGCCACAAAUUUUGCAUAAACUUGUACCUAUUUGUAAAUGAUUAACUCAAACCAAUUUUAGAUCCACACAUAUUAUGGUACUAUAUAUUUAAUUUAAUUUGAUAUAAAUUACAUAAUAUAUAAAAAUAAAACAAAAAUUUACGAAGUAGAUAACAACAGAGGCCGGAUCAAUCUUGGGUCUCGAAUACUGAAACCCAAAUCCGACCUAUUUUUUUAAAUAAAUAUAUAUUUUAAUCCAAUCCUAUUUUUUUUGAAUUUUACAAAUUAGUACUUGAUACUUAAAAAUUCCAAAUCUAGUGGACUUACCAGAGUUGGCCUUUUCAUCAUUUCAAUAAAUAAAUAAAAAGAACUUUUAAGUCUUUUAAGCCCUUUAAUCAUACACCACAUACCAUUUGAUCUUAACCUAUCUAGCAACCCCUAAUGGUCCACCAAAUAGGAUCCCACAUAUAAUAUAUAUGUGGACUGUGAAAGAAUCACAAUAAUCUCUAAAUAAUUAUAAUAUUAGGUUAAUUGAAUCAAAGGGUAUUUUUUUUUCCCCAAAGCAAAAUCAACAUAUCCUUAAAGUCCUCCAUAUUUGAGUAAAAGAUUGAAAGAUCCAUCCCCACAAUGUUUCAUGUAGUAAUAUUCAUAUAUUUCACUAUAUUCACAUAAAUAAUAAUUAUAUUACGUAAUUUUCGUGGCGUAACUAUUAUGGAAGUUCUCAUACUAAGAGUUAAAUUGUAUUUUGUUAUUCUUUUAAAAAAAAUAGAUAAAUGAGUCUCUGAAUGUUAGUUCAAUGAGUUUCUAUUGUUGAAAAUUGGCGUCGUUAACAUGUAUACCGCAUGCUGACAUACAAGAUCAGUGAUUUUUAACAAUAGAAAUAGAUGGAAUCUGACUUUACGGGAACUUCUAUGAUACUUUUACUUCAAAUUUGUUCUGACAAUGACUUCGCCCUCAACAUGGUAAAAUUAUCAUUUUAGUCCCUUUAAAAUUUAUGUAAUAUACUAACUUUUUUUUUGAGUAGAUUAUUGAUAUGAAUACCCAAAAGGCAAAAGGCAAAGGCAAAGGCAGCCUUUGCCUUUAUUUUUCUUUUAGGGAGUAAUGGGAGACCAUCUUUUUUUGUGAAUGAUAUAAAUCAGAAUCUAAACAUCUUCCAAUUUAAAACUUUUGUGAACUUCAAGCUUCUUCUUCUUGCCUUUAACGUGUGCGUCCCGUGUGUUAUAUAUAUAUAUAUAUAUAUAUAUAUAUAUUGAACCUUAAUACCUAAGUAUUUUGACUAAAAAAAUAUUCCCAUAAAAUACUAUAAGUAUUCUUUACAAGUUGCAAUGUAAAUCAUGUGUCUAUGAGAAAAAUGUUUUUUUUUUUUAAAACUGUUAUGAAAAAGAUUAGGGUUUUAUCAUCUAGAGAUGUUGGACAAUUAUUGGCUCUUUUGGAAUUUAGAUGCUAAUGGAAUCAUUUAGGGUUUUAUUUCAAGUAUUUUAAUAUAUAUAUAUAUAUAUAUAUUAAUCAUUCAUGUCACAAGUACAGUAUUUGUUAGAGAUUGUGUGACUCGAAUUCCGUUACUUAUUGAAGAAAUAAAUAUAACAAUAAAAUAAGGGGAUCUGUGGAGACGAAGCGCCGAAUCCCCAUUAAGCAAAAAGUUGGAUUGGGGAAUGGACCAUACAACGCAAGUUAUAUUCGUAUAGAACUAUUUUUCUUCUAUCUGACUUUGAUUAGAACAGGGUUCUCCAACCCUUAAAUAGAUGUAGUCCUCUUGUAUCGUUCGUUUUUAACAUUAGUGAAUUUCUCCUCAUCUGUCCGUGGUUUUUUCCGAAAGGGUUUUCCACGUAAAAUUUGUGUGUUCUUAUUUUUUCUUUUCUUAUUACUUUGCGAUCGUUCUACCACCAUUAUUAACGUUUAUUAUAACAAGUAUAGUUAAGUAUAAAUAUAAAUACAUGUUCAAACAAUCAUAAAGUAGAAUAAAUUAGUAUAGUACAAACAUACUAAAAAUUGGGAUGAUCCAAACUAGCGCAGAUGAAAUGAAACUAAAAUCCACACAGGUGAGACUCGAAGAUCCAAACAUAUAAUUGCUUAUGGUGAAUUUGAAACAUGUGAACUCAAGACCUAGGACUUCUGCCUUCGUCUUUUAUCAACUGUGCUAAGACCUGAUUGUCAUGGUUCAUACCAAAUGAAUUCAUUGUGUAAAUUAUAAUAUAAUAUUUUAAGCAAAUAAGAAGAAAAAUAGUUAAAAUAAUAUGAAUAUACUUAAAAAUUUUAUAUAUAAUAUUUUAAAGAUAAAUAUUUGGUAUAUUGACAGCGGAAAAUUUUAAUUCUACAAGUCAGAUUAAAAAAUUACCACAUGUCCUUAAUUGAGCAUUAAAAAAAAAAAACAUAUGAUAGUCUUCCCUAUUUUUUAUAACGAAAAUGUGAUUCGUUAAAAAACCACUCUUCUAAAUAAAAAGUGAAAAAGGAAUUCACCUAUAUGAUCAUUCAUUAAUCUAAAGACCGACAAUUUGAUGGUUGAUGUCAACAAAGAUAAGUAAAUGGUAUGUCGGUGAUUACUUAAUCUCAUACACUAGUAUAACAUUUUUUUUUUAUUUCUCAAGGUAUCUAUCGAAGCGAGUCUAGUAACUAAUCAUCCGCAUUCUGUAAGCAGAUUAAAGGGUCCAUGCUGACCACGAAUUUUAAAACCGUUUCAUACCCAGAGUGAAGAUCGAACCCUCGACCACUACUAGUAUAAUAUUAAUUACCAUGGAUAUUGUUGUAUUGGGACUGAUGUGAAAACAAUCCUUUCCUUGAUUUAUUCUCCAAAUUUUCUAGUUGAAGUAUCCAUGAUUAAGCAUAUAAAGCUCUCAUUCUUUAAAACAAUCAUUAAUUAAAUAUCCAUAUACAACACUAAGGUUGGUACAAAAAAAAGUGCUUUUUAAUUUAUAAAACAUCUUCCUUUUACCAUGGGCCUUCUUAGAGGCUUUUGUUUACACUUUGCCUUUGCCCUUUCUCUUUCAAAACAAUAAUGCCUAACUUUAUUGCUUCCCUUUUAGUAAUUUUAUUUUCUUUAUACAACGGUUAGGAGUUGUUAACGGAUUAAAUUCGAGAUCGAUGUCAAUUAAAAUUUUUAAAAUAAAUUUUUUUAUCAUUUUACGAGGAAAAAAUUUAGAAACAUUUUUAACCGAUGCCGAAACUUAAUUAUAAAUUUAAAAAAUAUAUAAAUGCAAAUUAUUUAAAAUAAACUUUCGUUAAAAUGAUUUUAUUUGAUAUCAGAUUUUGAGUUCGAUCCUUAGACAACUUAUUUUUCCUCCUCUUAUAAAAAAUUAUUAAUUAUUUUAUUUAAUACAAAAUAGUAAUAUUCUUCUUAUUAUUAUAAAUAUAAUUUAAUUUAAGUAAUAACUCUAACAAGAAAGAAGCAUACACUUGUUAGUGGAAUCUUUACAAUGUUAAACAUAUAUUAACAAAUUAAUGACUAAUUUAAUAGCAUUGGAUCCCUCCCAUGCAUUCACACAUGUAGAGCCAUCCAAAUCUAAUAGUAUUUUAAUUUUUAUAUUAUAAAGAAAAAGAGAGGUUUAAAGUAUAAAUUAUUUUGAAAAACAUUAAGGACCCACAAUAGCUUAAUUACGAAAUUCGUACUACAUCACAAAAAGAUGUUAUAAAAGAUUGUGUCGAUUGGGUCUUAACUCGAUUGGUAUAUAUGGGUGUUGUUGUCAAUGCAAGAGGGUGUGGGUUUGAGUGCGUUGAAGUGCAUUAUCCUCCUAUUUAUUGGUUGAGGAGGGACUAUGGGUAGUUCUAGCCAUUAUGUCAAAAAGAACAGAUAUGAUCAAAGCCUAUAAUGAGAUUAUUAAAAAAAAAUCUAUUUAGUGUACUAAUAAUACAUAAAAUAAAAUUAUAUGUAUUUAGUUUUAAAGGCUUCUAAUGUGAUAGUAUUAUGUAAUUCAUGAACAUAUAUACAUAUAUAAACAUUUUAUAGGUUAUUUUCACCAAAAAAUUUCUAAAUUAUUAUUAAGAUUUUAAAUAAUUUAUAAAAUUUAAAAUUAAUUGAAUCUUCAAAAGUAUUGAUAAUGUAACAAUCAUGUUGUUUCGUUAAUUUAACUAUCAAUUCAGACACUAAAUGUAAAUUCAGGGUCAAUGUAAAUAUACUUAAAACAAGUGCAUGUAUAUUUAUUACAUUAAUAAUUUUGAUAUAAUAUUAGAAAAAAACACGUAUGUACUUCACUGACGUCUUGGGUUUGACGUUCUAAAAAAUGAGUGUCAAUAAAAUUUUAAAAGGCUAAUUUCUUUUUCUUUGUAAACAUUUUAAACCCAAAUUGUCCAUGUAAUAGGUACAGAUUUAUUUAUAGCUUGAUACGCAUGCUACAAAUAUGCUCUGCGUCAAAUUUGAAAUGCUUAAGCAUACAAAAGGACUUGAUUGAUAUACGAUACCAAAACCCUAAAGACUGAAUUAGAUCAUGUUAGUGUUUGGACCAAGUUAAAAUAUAGGCAAUAGUUUGAGAAUUUUUUUUUUGAAAGUUUACAAAUAUAAAUAUAUUGUACUCACAAGUAUAGUACAAUUAUAAAUACAUAUAUGAUUAGCUAUAAACAUGGGCGACACGAAGGAGGGGCUGGCAAUGACCAAGACCCCCUUAAAAUGAGCUCCUUUAGAUCUUAUUAAUAUUAAAAUGGUAAAAUUACAUUUUAAUUCUCAUAAAAAUACAUAAUUUAAUUUUAGCCUCUCGAAAGAUAAUUUCUAGCUUUACCCUAGAAUACAAAGCAUCUAGAAAAUAAACAAAGAACUAACAUAUAAUCCGACAGAAGUCACCCACGACAAGUACACAUAAAAAUUACGUUUACUAAAGAAUCUAAAACUUCGACCUUUACAAAAUUUUCGAACAUUUAUUUUUAGGAAAAUAAGUUUUGCAUUAAGAAAAAGGGGUGGAGGCAUGGGACAAAAUGUGUUUGUUUAUGGUACGUAAAAUAGAUGGGAUAGAGAUACAUCAUAUCGAUGGAAAAAUAAGGCACCACACUGUCCAUCAUCGAUCGGAAUAUAUUCUCUGAUCUCUCGCCGCCAAAAAGUUAAAGCUGUCCUACGUGGGCGUGUUUUCUACGCGCUUUAUUGCACUAACAAAUAUCAGUUAAAACUCACAAUAAACUAACCUCCAACUAGGUAGGUACUACUAUGGAAGGGACCUUUUUUUUUUUUUUUUGGGUUAAAGUCAUGGGCAAAAUCCAUGCAUAUCCGACAAGAAAAGCCGUCUAGUGGGGCCCUGUCAUGGUCCUACUUGGCCAAUCACGUCAUGAUUCCAUGCAUGUCCAUUUGUGGGUCCAAUUUCCCUUACUUGAAAAGACAAGCCAUAUCACUUGGCUUGUCAACACGAAUUCCAUUAUACUUUCAAUUAAUUUCUCUUUACAUCCUCAAAGAUUUAGUGUUGUAUUAGUUUGGUCUUUGUGUUAGUUUCUCCUUUACCUUAGACAUUAAGUGCAAUGGUGGAUCUUGACAUUAAUUUUUAAAGGAGGCUAUUAAUUUUUUUUUUAAAUUAGAGAAGUUUAAUUAAAAUUUUCAAAAAAUAAUAAUCAAAGGGUUUAAUUAAAAUUUUUUAAAAAAAUUGGGAUGGCCUAAUUAAUUUUUCAUUUUUUUGAGACCCUGGCUCCUGGCUCCGAUUACCAUUUGCCCUUGAUUAAGUGCUAGAUUAAAUAUGAUAUGAAAUAUAUUUGAUCAAAUUAUAAACGCAAUGUAUAUUUAUCGCAUGGAUUUGAUUUGCUAGAAGAAAAAAGAAGCGGUCCGCUUAAAUUUUAUUGAUACAAUACUAUCUUAUUUCAACACGUUAGAUUCGAAUUGUUUAUUCUCUAGGUAAUUGUAUAUAUGUUUACAAUUUGAUUCAUGUGUUUAUGUACAUUCCACGAUCACUAAUUAUGUUGAUGGAAAGAUCGUUGAUACAAUAUUAAUAUUUUAAGGACUCGAUCAAAACAUCUUGUAAUUUAGGGACCAAUUUAAAUUUUAAGCGGUAGUUUGAGAAGUUGGAUGAAUUAGCCCCUAACUUCUGUUUCUAAAAAAAAUUUUUGACCAGAGCGAUUGCCGACGGGGCUGCUGCCUGUUUAUUACCCUAAUGUGAACGUCUAUUUCCGAUUCUUGAAUAAUACCUUUUAUUCUUUUAUUUUUUUGUUAAGGUUUAUGCGAUUUAUUUUGUUUAUACCAUGUUUGUUGUUUUUAUAUUUGUUUUAGCUCGGCUCGAUAUUAAAUAUGGUUUAAAAUUUUGUUUAAAUUCAUUUAUAUUAUAAAUAGUUAAUGUAAAUUUGUUUAGGUUUUUUUAAAUAUAUAUUAUUUUUGACGAGGGGAAUUAGGUCUUGAACCCUCAACGAAAGGUAUUGUCCCGUUAAGGGGUUUUUUCUCCCUUAAGAAGCGUUCUGGUUUAUGUAGAUACGACCUACAAACUUACGAGAGAAGUGUCAAUAUUAUUAGAAAUUAAUUAUGGAAAGUGUGCUUGCGGGAGAUCAAACCAUCAACUAAGGCCUUAUAUUUCUUACCUGUUUUAACUUUGUGAAUCUGGUUGGGUUCUUUUCGGAGUAGGGAGACAAAACCCUCGAGCAGGAUAAUACCUUUCGUUGAGGGUCCGAGAUCCAACUCCCCUCAACAAAUUUUAAUUCAUUAUUUAAUGUUUUAAUAUUUUUUUAUAUUAAAACAUGUCAAGCCAAGCUCGAGGCUUAAUUGUUGAAGUGCAAGCUCAGCUCGUAUUUUAAAUAGGUUUAUUUUUUAUGUUCAAAUAUAUUUUUUGGUUUUUGUAUUUUCGUCCAAACCCAUCUAUAUUUCGAACGGAACUUUGAAAUCAGAUGGAUAAUCCGAACCCUGAACAUUUCUAGGGUGAAUUUGAUAUGAUUUUUCAUCCAUGGGGAGGUGCCUCGUUUAACUUUUUUUUUCUAGGAUGAGAGAUCAUUCGUGGUUGUUCUAAAGUUGUUUGGUUGUCGAGAAAAUCGACGGAGAUUCUAAGUUGAAAAUCUGAACUUCUUGCAGCUCAAAGAUUUGGUUGAUUGAAUUAAGACCGUUUGUAUCUAUUAAAGUCAACGAAGGCUUUUGGUCAUCAUAAAGUUGAAAAGUAAAUUAACUCGUAAAUUAUUCAUGCACUAUAAUUUUAAUUGUAUGUUUUUAAAAUUAUAGAGAAAUUUAUUCUCACCUUUUAAAUAGAAGAUAAGAAAAAAAAACAGUAAUUAUUAUGAUAAUAAUAAUGUAAAUUCAAUUCAUAAAAUUUUAAUAUUUUAUUAAUAAUUCACACUUGCUGAGUCAUUUUUUGUCUAUCUCAUUAAAGAGAACAUUCGGGUAUUUAUAUAUAUAUAUAUUAUCACUAAUCAUAAUUUGACUCCAUUGUUCAUAGACUUGACCCCACUAUUUAUAGGACUAACAUUCUGAGUAGGCCUCGAGCAUGUUGAAAACGUCUAUUGUUUGGGGUCGCUUUUUAAGCCUCGCGGUCCCCUACAUGCGAACUCCUUGAGUAUAUGCAAGCUGGGAUCGUGAACUCCCCUCAGUCCGUGAGAGCUCCCCUGGCUGUCCCCUAACUAUAUGCUUCGCGCAUAUCUAUUUGGUGGAACUUAGCUGGGUCGCGAGUAGAAAACCUGGAUCUUAUCUGAAUUUCAGAUUAAUGAUCAUUGAUGUAUAGCGAAAGUGAAAUAAAACCUAAAAGGCUAAAGCUCUUUAAUUAAAUUCUUACAAAUAUGCAUUUUCCCUUUAAUUCUUCUUUACUAAACUAGAACAAAAUGUAGGUAAAAAAAAAUAAAGAAUUUGUCACAUCCAUUAUAAACUUUCGUAAAGAGAAAAGUGGAUAGUUUUAAAGAUGAAAAGUUACUUGAAAAAAGUUUUAGUGUUAUCUUGUCUUAAAAAAAAUAUUAAUUAAGAAUAGUAUGUGAGUUCACUCGUGACACCAAAUUUAUUAAGAUAAUUAAGGGGAAACGGAGGAAGAUAGGAAGUGACAUUAACCCCAAAGAUGAAAAAUUUCUUAUAUAGUCCUUCAAUUUUCAGAAAAUUAUAAAAUUGAAUAUAUGUAUAGGAGAUAUGUUUACAAAUCAAUCAUAGGGGGGUUUGAGGUUCAUAAAGUGGACUCUCAAAGUCUCAAAACUACUUUAUGCUAAUGCCCUCCCUUUCUAAGGUGAUGUGAAUGGGGGAGGGGGGUGAAUUUGCCUUGUCUUUAGCUCCCUAUUUUAUUACUUUUGUGGGGGCAAACCAAAAUAAAAGAAAAAGAUAAAAAAAGAAAGAAAGAAAGAAGAACUUUAAGUCACAAAAUGUUGACUUAUUUGUCAUCUUUGGAUCCAAAUUUAAAACACCCUUUUUCUAUUUACUUCUUUCUCUUUUAAUGAAAGCAUCAAUCUUCAUAUUUUAUUUUAUUUUGUUAAAUCAAUAUAAAAAUAGCAUCUUGUAUUUGUUUAAUUUUAUUUCAUAUGGUUUUGAUGAAAUUUUAAAUUUUCACUUUUGACCAACACCAUUGGUUAUGUUACUUAUAAGGUUAGCUUUCUGUUUGUUUGGACAUAUAUUGUCUUAUGAUUUUAGAGUAAUUCCUUUGUCUUAUUUUUCAAAAUGACACGUGUGGUUUCAUGUCUAUUAAUUAAGAUUGAGUCCUUACGAUCUUAAGUUUUUAUUUUCGAAUUUCAUCCCAUGUAAAUGUUUUUAUUACGUGUUUUUAACGUAAAUUACAUUGGUAGUCAUCUAGUCAUGUUCUUUUUUUUUGGUUAUUUAAUUAUGAAAAGUUAUAAGAUGAUCACCCAAUAAUUUAAUUUUGUCUUUUUUAGUCACCAAUUAGCUAGCGUAAAAAUAAAAAUACCCAAAGAUUCAAGAUAAUUGGGUGACUGAAAACGACAGAAUUGAAUAAUUGAAUGAUUAUAUUAUAAUUUUUCAUGAUUAGAUGAAAAAUAUAUAUAAUUGAACGAGUAAUGUGAAAAUGACAAAUCGUGAAUCUCGAAUACAAUAAAAAGGAAAUGAGUAAUAUAAAUAUAUAUAAAACCUAAUAAAAUAAAUCUUGAAAAGAAACAAAAAUGAAGGGUGAGAAUCCUCCACAAGAAAAAGAAAAAAAACGAAAGCAAAAGCUUGAGGUUGAAGCUUCAAAGUUGAUAAAAAAAGAAGAAGACAGGUCUGAUCUUAUGUUGUGUAUGUAUAUAAUAUGUCAUCAUCCCCAUAUAAUGCCAUGGCUUUCAACCCAUACCCUCUCCCCCAUUGACCCCUCAACCCCUCCAUGCAAAGAUAAAAAGCCUACAAUUAUAACCUCUAAAAGCCCCUUAUCAUCUUCUCCUACACUUUCAAACCCUAAAAGAACACUCAUUUAAACAUAAUCAACCCCCCACCCAAAAAGCUAUGAGAGUCCCCGUUUCUUCUCCACAAAGCAACCAUUGCCAAAGCCCUAAACCUAACAACAAUACUAACACUAGUAGUACUAGGAACAUAAGUUUCCAUGGUGCUACUAUUAACAGUGUUUCAACUUCGUGUUAUGAGCCUACUUCGGUUCUUGAACUCCGGCGAAGCCCGAGUCCCGGGCAUGAUAAUCCGGUGGAUCAUCAUCAGCAUCAACAGCAGCAGCAGCAGCAUCAAGCUCCACUUGAGUGGGAUGAACAUGUGUUACGAAACAUGGAUUGGGAUUCCAUCAUGAAAGAUUUGGGAUUAGAUGAUGAAUCAGUACCGUCCAUCAAAACUAUUCCACCACAAGAGAAUCAUAUACAGAACCUCCCUGAGUUUACUUCCUGCGAGUUAACUCACCCAACUGAGUUUAACAAUCUAUAUGAUUUCUACCCGUCUCAUAAUAUUGAUAUUUCUAAUACUACUACUUAUGGUUUUAAUAAUAUGGGGAACUUCAUCAAUUCCGGGUUUGAUUUUAUAGAAGAGCUUGUACGAGCCGCUGAUUGUUUCGACACCCAGGAAUUGCAGCUAGCUCAGGUGAUAUUAGCUCGGCUUGGUCAGCGGCUACGAUCACCGUCCGGGAAGCCGUUACAAAGAGCGGCGUUUUAUUUCAAAGAAGCUCUUUUAUCUCUUCUCACCGGCGGGUUAACUCGUACGACUCGGUUAUCGUCGUGGAACGACAUCGUUCAAACAAUCAAAGCUUACAAAGCUUUUUCAGGGAUUAAUCCGAUUCCGAUGUUUAGUCAUUUCACGACCAAUCAAGCUUUAAUGGAAGCAGUACUGGAUGGAUCAUCACCGUUGAUUCACAUCAUCGAUUUCGAUAUCGGAUUCGGCGGUCAAUACGCGUCGUUGAUGAGAGAAAUGUUUGAAAGACAUGACCAUUCACGUAAGUUCAUACGUGUAACAGCGGUGGUACCAGAAGAAUACGCUAUAGAAACAAGGUUAAUUAAAGACAACCUUGUGCAGUUCGCUUCAGAGCUUAAAUUAAGGUUCCAGAUUGAAUUUGUUUUACUUCGUACUUUCGAAAUGUUGUCUUUUAAAUCUUUUAAGUUCAUCGACGGUGAAAAAACGGCGAUCCUUUUAUCUCCGUUGAUUUUUCGGUCUUUGGGUUUAAACUUAACGGCGUUCUUGAACGAUCUCCGGCGGGUUAAUCCUACCAUCGUCGUGUUUGUUGAUAACGAGGUAUGGAUGGAGUCCGGUACGACAUCGUUCCGGAAGAAUUUCGUUAACGGACUGGAAUUCUACGCUAUGAUGUUUGAGUCUUUGGAUGCGGCGGUCGUGGGGAACGGGGAAUGGGUGAGGAAAAUAGAGACGUUGCUUCUCCGGCCAAGGAUAUUAGCGGCAGUGGAAACGGCUGCGAGGAGUACGGCUCCCCCGUGGAGGGAGAGGUUCCGUGGGGCGGGGAUGAGGGCUGUGCAUUUGAGCCAGUUGGCGGAGUUCCAAGCGGAGUGCUUACUGGGGAAAGUUCAGGUCAGGGGAUUCCACGUGGCGAAACGACAAGCUGAGUUGGUGCUUUGCUGGUACGAGAGUGCCUUGGUUGCCACGUCAGCAUGGAGGUGUUGAAUGUAAGAAAUUUAGCCUAGCUGGAAUUCUUAGAAUUUUAGUAUUUUUGCAUGGGGGUUUUUAAAUUUUAAUUUGGUAAUUAAAUUAAAAAAAUUGCUGGUAGUUAAAUUGUACUAAAAGAGGUAGGAGAAUGGAGUCCUUUAGUGCCUAGUUUCUUCCUUAUCCAAUAUAUAUAUAUAUAUAUAAGUAUAUAUAAAUUAUAUAAAAAAUAUGUAAUAAUAUUUAUAUAAAUAUGAAUGCAACACAAAAUUUGUAACCCAAAAAAUAUGUAUCCAAGGGGUUAAACCCCAAUAAUUAAAUCAAAUUUUAUUUAUUUUUUGCUUUGCUCCGGUGGAUGGGGGUUGAAGUUUUUUCUAAGACGAUAUUAUUGGGAGGGGUAACUGUGAACUCUGAACUCUGAACGUGGAUCAUAAACCGAUAGUAUAUGUCAUAAAAAAAAAGUUACAAUAGUAUAAUAUUAUACACAAUUAUUUGUAAAUUUGAAGUUUUUAUCCGAAUCUUGAAAAUGCAAGAUUUUAUUCUUCAAUAAGACUAAUAUAAUAAGUAAUAAAAUCAGAUCUUAUUCUAAUGGCUCCAAAUAAUAUUUAUUUAAGAGUACAUAACAAGAUUUAUCAACAUGUGCCAAAAGGUCUCAUUAUCAAAUCGGUUUACUCGAAGUUGAGGAGCGACGCAGAUGAAAUCAGGUAAACUUAAAGAGUUACACACAAUCAAGAUUCGAACAAGACCAAUCUCAAACAACUCGGACCUAUUUUUCAUGAGCUCUUUAUCUUGAUUUUCUUUGGCUUUGCUCUAAUUUUAAAUUGACAAUAUUCUUUCAUUAACCUAAUCAUUAACUUAAGUAUUAAAGGUUGAUUCAAAUCCGACUCGAACUAUAUUUAAAAUACGAUGAUCAAAUUGUAAACACUAGUGUACUUAUCUGGUGGUACACACGUAUGUCAAUUUUGAUCUAUGUACUUUAAACAUUAUCCACAUCGUUUAUGAAUUAGCCGUUAAUAUUGUAUUGAUACUUUGAGGGUCAAUCCCUCAAUUAGAACGUUCUGAAGUUUAGGAAUGAAUUUAAAAUCUAGACGAUAAUUUAAAUAUGUUGAUGAAAUUAACCCAAAUAUAAUGAAUCAUCAUGGCAUUGUUGAUCUAUAGCCUAAAACGAUAAAUUGUAAUGGGCUUGUAAAGAUACCCUAAUGGAUGGGCUGUUUACUUUAAGCAAAGUCGACUCUCAAUGGCCCUAAAGAAUAAUUGGGGAGGAAAUUGAAAAAAAUUGAAAAUUACCAAUAGAUUAUAAAAUAUUUUUGAUAAUAAUAAUUGAAAAAUCACUAGGUUCUAUAGAUGAAAUAAUUAUUGUUGAUAUGUUUUUUAUUAUUAAAUAACGGUACAAUCUUUUUAAGCUAACAAGAAACAAACUGUAUGAUAUUGAAAUUCUGAUAAAGACAUGCACUCAACGAUACAAGAGAGUAAUAUCAUAGCAUGUAUUUUAUCACAUGUGCGUAUAUGAUCAAUACGGGUAAUAAAAGAUUUGACAUGUGCUUCUAAGUCAUGUAAGACCCAUGAGAUCAACCAGAGAUCUCUAUUAAGUACUGUUAUGACACUUGACUUUUUCUCGAAAUUUCAAGUCAAUGUUAGCUAUCUUAGUAUGUUACCACUAAUCAUGCAUGAUCCGAUCAAAUGUGACAUAUCUAGAGAGCAACUAAAUUGAAAGAAAGAGAUUUUGUUUUUGUUUUUGUAUUCUUCAUAUCCAUUUUACGGUUUAUAUUCGGAGAUUGUGACUGUCCCUCCCAACAACAUCAUGUAAUUAUAUAUAACGCAUAUUAUUAUCGUAUCAAAAUUUAUAUAAAAAGUAUUAUUAUUAUAAAAUAAAAAUAACAAAAAUUCAACACAACACUUAUCUUGGCCACCGACCAACAACCUUAAAUUGCAAAUUCAUGCAAUCUUGUGGCGAGGACCACAAUGUCCCCCAAAAGGCAUAUAUUCCUCAUAUAUCCCUCAAUUUGAUAAAAUUUUCAAUUUGGUCUUUGAGGUUUUUUUUUGUUCACACUAUUUUUUUUUCAAUUUUUCUUAAUUUAUAUCAAUUCUAAAAAGAAUUAUUGAAAUAUUAUGAAGAAAGUACAUAUACUUUUUAAAAUUUCAAGUGAUAAUAGGACAAAAUCUUAAAGUGUCAUCUCGUCACACUUUACUUAAACGUAAGUUUAGGAAUCAAUUGAAAGAAAUUGUCAAAUUCGGAUAAUAAUGUAGACCAAAAAAAAUACUAAGUUCAAAGAUUAAAUAUUGCUUUUUAUCUCUUUUAUUUUUUGUGUUGUCCUUGUGGUAGUCCCUGUUAAAAGUUCAUUAUAUAUCAUCAAUCAUCUUUUUAUCAUUUUAUCCUUUCAUUUUUUAGCUUCAUUAUUGCAAAUAUUUAAUAUUCUUCUGGAUAAAAAUACUAAGGAAGUUUUAGUAUUAGGAGUGAGAUUGCAUUUUACCCAUUCUACUAAAAAAUAGGCAGAUUAGUCCCUGCACAUUAGAUCAAACAGAAAACUGAUUAUUCUGUUAAAAAUUCUAUCCAUUUCUACUAUUAAAAACGGGUCCCUAUAUAUCAACAUGAGGUACACUUGGCAUGCCAUGCCAAUUUUUAGUAAUACAAAAUGGAUAAAUUUUUUAAUAAAAAAGACUGAUUUACUCUUUAAUUUAACGUACAAUGAUUAAUUUGUCUAUUUUUUAGUAGAGAAGACAAAAUACAAUCUGACUCUUAAUAUAAAGGCCUUCGUGAUACUUUGAUCAAUUCUUUUUGCUAGCUUGUUUUUAAUUUACCCUUCUAUCAACAAACAAAAACCAUGAUCAUCCUCGUAAUCUUCGUCGGCAUCUUUCAUGAAUAUACCCUUCCAUGAUCCGCUUUUCCAUUUUUGUAACAUAUUUAGUUGAUUCUGUAUUCGAGUUAUUUUGAGUUCAAAUUAUUUUUGUUUCGGAUAAUUUUAGAAUUGUAUUGGACAAAUUUUAAUCGUUAACUUUUUAUAAUCAAUUUGAGUUCAAUCAAGUUUUAAUUUCACUAAAAAGGAAUUAAAUAAUUCGAGUUAUUUGAGUUGAUUAAGAUAUUCGGAUUAAUUUGAAUAAAAAAAUAAGUUUUUCGGUUGAACUCGAAUAUGAAUUACACAAUUCGAGUUAUUCGAAAAUCCGAAUAAGAAAAAGCAAAACUACGUCGUUUUGCUAAAAGUUUACAUUUUCUAAAGUUAAAAGUCAAAACCAUUAAGUUAAAAAGGUAAAUCUAUGUCGUUUUGAUAAAUGUUUACUCAUUAAGUUAAAAGGCAAAACCAUUAUAUUGUUUAUAUAGUUAAAUAAUCUUAUACUUCGUCUACUAGUUAAAUAAUCAGUCCAUGUAAAUGCAACAUUGAGUAUAAAUAAUAGUAUUCGUUAACUCGACUCAAAAUUUUUUGACUCGAUUCGAUUUGAUUCUAAAAAAAUUCAAACUGAGUUCGGUUGCUAAAAUAGGAUUCGUCAACUCGACUAACUCGAAAUUUUUUGACUUGAUUCGACUCGACUCGAUCGAAUACACACCCCUAUAGAUGAUGAUGCCCUACAAAAGUUCCACAUGAAUGUGAAGAAUUUUAAAUAUUCCCUGUGAGAAUAUUAGAUGCAUUGUCGUGUAUAAAUUUUAAGUAUUAUCAAAGAAUAAUAACAUAAUAUUUUAUUAUAAAAUAAAGUAAAAAAAUAGUGAAGGAUUUAUAAAUAAAUGCUAAACUCGAGAUUCGAGACCCUUAACCUUUAAGCUCAAGAUCCUAAAUUCAAGAGUUAAUAUUUAUUUAUAAUAGUUACGAUUAACAUGUUAUUAUUAAAUACCAAUGAUGCACAAAACUUAUGCAUCGACAGUGUAUCAAAUAUUAUUUCAUCUUAUAUUAUAGCCCGUAAUGUUAUACUUCGGAAUAAGAUUACAUUGUUUAAAUUCUCAAUAUUUCAGUCAUUUUGUAAUCCCACAACCCUAAAUAGUGUUAAAAUGUUGUAAUAUAGGAUAUAAUCUCAUUAAUUACCACCUAUUCCUGAAGUAAUCUUAAACUUUAGACCAGUUUACCAUUUAUUUUAUUAUUUUUAUCAGUUCAAUCUUUUUUUUUUCUAAUAAAAGUUAGGUCUAAUUAUGAUUGGUAAUGCAAUUGCUUUUCAAGAAUUAUUAUAAUUAUCAUUUAUAAAUUUAUUUUAACAUCAUAUAUUUACUUAUUCAUAUGUAAAUUGUAAUAAAAAUAAUUAUAAAAAUUUUAUGAAAAUUGAGACUAAAAAUAUUAAUUUUUUUUAAAAAAAAAUCUAUAACAAAGUCAAUUUAAUAAAAUGUGCUUCUAGAUAAUCUUCCAUUCUAUCAAUCAAACAUACUGAACAUUCCUUGAACCAAACCUCCCUAAGUGUGCGAAGAUCAUCAUCAUUUUUAUGUAUGCAUUAUUCUAAUGGUUUAAUUAUGCCCUUGGCCCAUGUACUCUUCUAAUUUUUAAAAUUUAGUCCUUUUACAUUUGAGUGGAAUUAAUUAUAAUGUUUUUAUAUAAUACAAGUUCAAUCUCACAUACCCACACACAAACGAACCUACAGGUCGAACCCUAGUUUCAAAUUUGGAUGAACUAAUUUCAGCCAAUGGGUUAAAGACUUUGAAGUCUUUGGGGUAUAUAAAAAUUUCUUUAUUAGUCAAAAAUUGAAGGGAAAUUAUGAUAAUUAAUUAAUCAAGAGGGAAAACAAGAAAGAAGAAAUAUAGUUAGACUUUAGCAACUUCACCCAACCAUCCUAGUCAAAAGCUAAGUUUACUUAAUAUAGUAGUUAAUAACAUUAAUCUCUAAAUUUAAGGUUAAUUAGGAUAUAAUUACAUUACAUUUGAUAUAUUUUUAAAUAUCAUAAUUAUCUACACAUAUUAAAGUUAAGUCACAUAUAUAGAUUCAUCCACUCCAUGCCAUUAAUGUAACUAUUUUGCCCUAUAUAGAAUACAUCUUGAUCCUCAAAUCCUUGUGCUCCAAAUUCCCCUAGGAAAGGUGGUGGAUCCACGGCUUCCAUCGAAAGAACCGACGACGAACUCGGACUAUUACUCGAAACCCCGUCUACUCGUUCUGUCAAUCCUUGGAUUUCCUUUUCAGCCUCUCGAAGUUGGUCCUUCAACUUUAAAACCUACCCAAAAAAAGGAAAUCGUAAAUUUUGAGAUUCGAAUUUCACAUAAAAGAAACAUGUUUUGGAUUAGGGAUUUUUCAAGUACUCUUUUGUUGUGUAAUAAAGGGAGGCAAAGGUUUGUUGUUCCAUGUCAUUGUUGUCCGAAAUUUCUUUUUAGAAAGGUUUUUUAAUGGACUAAACCCAACAACAUGGCAUUGUUUUUCUUCGAGCCUAGAGCUCAUGCAUGGUGGGGUAAACCCUUUUGUCUUUAUUGUUUUCAAAGGAUAAAAGAUAAGAAAGGGAUAAGCACUUGCUUGAUUUUCUUCGAACCAACGCUCUUAAUUCUUUUUGUUAAUUAAUAAUUAAUUUUUUCUUUAAAAAAAAUUCAUAAAUUGCGGAACUAAGCCCUCGUGAAAAAAAAAAAGUCAAAAUUUUAGUUUUGGUGCUUUUACUAUUUUAAAUCUUAGAUUCACUCCCAAAUUUCUUUAUUAGUUAGUCCAAAUACUGAAUUGGAUUUUUCUUUUUUUGUUUUCAAAAAAGAAAAAUUUAUGAUAGUAUGAUGAGUUGGAAAGCAUUUUCAAAAAAAUAUAGUCAGCAUUUUAAUUAGAAUAAUUAAGAAAAUCCAAAUUUUGAAAAUAAUAAAGGGACUAAAAAUAGAAUUUGACCAUUAAACAGGACAUGCUUUAUAUGGGUAAGAAGGAAACAGCCUGAUAGUAUUAUUAACAUCUGUUUGGUUCCUGAGAAACCAAAAGAAAAAAAGGGUUUUUUUAAAAAUGGUUAAAAGCUUAAAAUAAAGAAAAGAGUUUGUGUUUAAACAUUCAACUAAAUCAUUUCUGUUCAUAAAAUGCAUGAAAUAUAUAUAUAUAUAUAUAUAUAUAUAUAUAUAUACACCUCGGAUUCAAGGCGACAUUUCUCAACAACAACACCUUCAUGGAUUGUCUUCAACUUGCUAUACUCUUCCUCGAGCUUCUUGUUCUUCCAACGAGCUCUUCGGUUUUGGAACCAAACCGCGACCUGCCGAGGGUCCAGACCGAGCUCUGAAGCGAGUCGGUCUUUCCUCUCGGACUCGAGUUUAUGUUCAUUCCCAAAGUUAAGUUCAAGAAGAUCAACUUGUUCUUGGCUAAGCUUCCUUUUCUUAGCUGUCUCCGCCGCGGUUGCCGCCCCGCUUUCCCCUCCCUUGUUCUUCUUCCGUCGUCGUCGAGGCUUCGAUAUUUCCCCUGCCAUUUAAAAAAAGGGUUCCUAUAAGUUACCAAGAUUAAUGAAAGAAAUCAUAAAGAUUUGAGUUUAAGUACACAAAUUAUUUACCUUGUUGUGGUGCAACUUGAGUGUAUAUGCAAGGGUACAUUUGGGUGAUUAGAGCCAUUGGAUCUUCAAGCUCUUUCAUUUGGGUUGUCAUGAUGAUUUUUUUUUUUCUUUUGCUCUUGAAUUUAGCAAUGGGUUUUAUCUAUGCUAAGAGAAGUGGAUAUGUUUGUGAAGUAAUGUUGUUUAUUUAUAGGGUUGAGUAGGACUUACAAAAGGAGUACACUAUUCAAAGAUGGGAACUUCAUUUGCAUUUUGAAUGACAACAAUGCCCCUUUCUAGUGUUUCAAUAUUUGGUAUAUCAAAUUUGGGACAAAAAGAAAGUUUAUGCUUUAAAUAGUUUGUUUUCACUUUUUAAUAAACUUGUGCAUGUAUGGGGAUUUUAUAUAUAAAAGAAGUUCAAGUUUAGAGACAAAGGAAAAAGAUAAUAUUGCAAUGAUAUUGAUAAUUAUCUUUUACAAUUUAAACUUCAUCCAAUAAUCGAAAAAUAUAUAAAUUAAAACUAGAUUAUAUUACAUUCACGAUGGAGUGAAAGUAAUUAUGUUUAAAAGUAUGUAUUUUUUUCUCUAGAUUUCAUGUAAAAAGAUAAAAAUAUCAGUUGAGACUGAUUACGGGUAUACCAACUUGGUCAAAAACUUUAAAAUUUGCUUUGGGAAUCAUUUAGAGAUCGGCUUAGAUGAUAAAAACCCUUUUUUUAAUAUAUUUUUUAUUGUCAAAUUGAAUUAAAGAGUCUUAUUUUAAUAGAAAGAUGAUGUUUUUGGACUAAAAAGUGGAUAAGGCACUUUAAAUGAAAAUUCCAAAUGGGAAAAUAGAUAUACCAAUUAAAAGGUUUUCCUCAUCUUCACAAUAUAAAUUCAAGAAUGAUAGCUUCCAUGAAAUUUCCUAAUCCUGAAAUAAAGAUGGGGUUUGGAUU
rnacentral:lncRNA from 1 species